UACGUAGGGUGCAAGCGUUAAUCGGAAUUACUGGGCGUAAAGCGUGCGCAGGCGGUUUUGUAAGUCUGUCGUGAAAGCCCCGGGCUCAACCUGGGAAUUGCGGUGGAGACUGCAAGGCUUGAAUCUGGCAGAGGGGGGUAGAAUUCCACGUGUAGCAGUGAAAUGCGUAGAGAUGUGGAGGAACACCGAUGGCGAAGGCAGCCCCCUGGGUCAAGAUUGACGCUCAUGCACGAAAGCGUGGGGAGCAAACAGG
rnacentral:rRNA from 1 species